rnacentral:tRNA from 4 species
GCUCCUGUAGUUCAACGGAUAGAACAGUCCCGUCCUAAGGGAUAGAUGAGGGUUCAAUUCCUUCCGGGAGCA